UCUUACAGCAUACUGUACCUUCUGACGUUCAUUUAUGUUUAUUUUGUGCUAUAAUUAAUAGUACAGAGGAAGAGAUGAUCUGCUCACUUUAUCUGAGCUCGAGACAAGACCAAAACCAUGAAAAUAUGGUCUUAUGUGUGUUCUUAAAUAUUAGUGAGUCUGGUCUUGAAUACAUGUUAGGAAAAUAUGAGCAGUUGUGAUAGUUUGGCACAAAUUGGACAUGGCCCCUUUAAGAAAUUGCCUCUUUGCAACGCCAUUGUCUACCCCUCAUUGCGCAUGUGUGUUCUACUUUCAUAGAAACUCUUAAUUCAAUUAAACCAAUUUGAGCAUCUGCAACAGUUGUAGUUGUUAAUUUUGACGACCUAAUGUAUCUUUUGAAGGAUGGAAAUGGAUUGAGGUGAACUUCAGAACAUACUUUGAACACCUUUUUAUAUGUAUUAAACAGAAACAACGUGUGCUGAUAAUGCAAAAGGACAAUUGAUUUAUCAGUUAAAGUCAGUCCAUCGUUGAUUCAGUCAUGUCAUCGUCCAGCUCCGUUCAGUUCUCUUCAAAUAGUGUCUGUGCAGUCAAGUCAACAAUGUUGCCAGAGAUUGUGUCCCCAACUACGCAAGCCAAAUGUGAUAGUGACAAGGAACCAAGACUCCAUCAGUGACAGAAAUGGAGAAAAAAAAACCUUGGGAGAAACCAGGCUCAGUCAGUUCUCUUCUGGUCAGACGAAACCUGCAUGGUGUGGUUUAAUUGCAGGCUGCAACACAGCGCACCACAGUUCCAUCAACUGUCCCAAGUGUCUAUGCUUGCACUUCUCCUGCAGUCCCUAUUAUCAGGCACUAACAAGCGCACAACAAAAUCUCCACUGGCAAAAGAAGAAAAACAUCAGCACUUGGACUUUCUCUGCCUGAUUUACAGUGGGUCUGAGCUUUCCAUAAUACUCAAUAAGAGAAAAUCUCAGAACUCAGCCCCAGCACAACCUUGUUAAAUAUUGAAAGAUGUUCUCCGGUUUGUUUUUUGUUUGAUUUGUUUGCUGUUUUAUAGUUAUAUUAUUUUUAUGUAAUAUUUUGAAGGUUGCAUGUUUUUAUUGCCUCCCUUAUGUAUUCCAGGGAUUACCUGUCUAGCAAUCUUGCAGGGUGUGAUGCAUUAUUCUGCUAGCUGAAAAAGGGAACAACAGUAAAGAUGAACUGCUGGCUCAAAGCCAGCCUGAGUAAGUUUUGUGUUAUUUGAUGGAACGGUCUCUUCCACUUUCAGACCAUCGCUGCACUGACUAACUUGAUGUUUUGUGGAAAUUGACUUGUGAUGGUCUUGGAAGUGCCUGUAUUAAUGCUAAAGUAAUUUAAUGUUUUAAAGCCUAUGCUGCAUUUUUUUCCUAGCAAAAGUUUAUUUAUAGAGUAGUUACCUUGUGGUUGUAAUUAGUCAUUUAUAGCAUAUUGCUUUUUUUUAAGCUUUUUUUAAAUACAAAUUUGGUAACUUGUUUUUUUUAUU
ensembl:lncRNA